rnacentral:lncRNA from 10 species
GUGAGGACCCAGCUAGAGAGUGUCUGUUUGCAAGCCAGGAGCAGAGCUUUCGCCAGAAACCAGCCAUGCUGGCAUCUUCAUCUUGGACUUCUAGCCUUCAGACUAUGGGAAAAUAAAUUUCUGCUGGUUAAGCUACUCAAUCUAUGGUGUUUUGUUGUGGCAGCGUGAGCUGAAAAAGACAGGGAGAAACUGGGAAAAAGGUGAUUUCACACAGUAUCCUUCACCAGAAUUUGGUUACACAUUGGGGAGCCACUACUGCUCUUUUAGAAAUGAGAAAACUGAACCCGCUAGAGGAUAUAAACCAGCAAGGUGCUUUGACAAGACGCUUGUUAAAUGGAGAAUGGAACCAGGUUAUUCACUGUGGUCAUAUGUUAAAUGACAGGGCUGAGACCUCUCCACAGCACAUCUGAUACUGGGAUCGAUGAAGAUCAGAUGUGCAAAUCACACUGGGCUCCGGAAAGCCCUAGACUGUGUCAUUCAAGGUGGGAGGAUUUGCUUCUCUGAAUGCCAACAAAGAAUGCUGGCCUCAGUGGUGGCUAUUCCUUACUCCAUGUAAGAGAAUCAACAAAGCAAGCCCUGGGAAAUACAAACCCUGGCCUGAGGAGGUGGAUGAACACUGAGAUAAGAAGUCAGAAGCCAAACUAUUUCCCAAUCUUAUCUUUUCAUUAGAACUGUGUAGGGUUUCCAUUCAAAGAAUGAGAGCUCUGCCCAUGUGUGGGUUGGGAUGUCCUUCCUUACUCUGACCACACUAUUCAGUGUCCUCUGGAAGAAACACCUGAAUGAUCUGAGCAAGAAUUCCCCAUGUCUUAUCACUUGGUACCUGGAGCACCCUUCUGCUGCCUCUUAUCAUGGUUUUCAUUCCCCAAGGUUUAUUAAGCCUGCAGUGGAGACAGGAUUCUGCCUGACUAGCCUUCCUUUUGAAAAAUCAGCACCUGUUAUAGACUGAAUUGUGUCUCUCCCUUCCACCACCAAGUUCACAUUUGACAUGUUGGAGCCCUAAGGUCCAAUGUGACUGUAUGUGGAAAUGGGUUCUUGAGAGGGGUGAUUAAAGUGAAAUGAAGCCAUAAAGGAGACCUGAUUCAAUAGGACUGUUGUCCUUACAAGAGGAGAAAGACACACCGGAGAAAUAGCCAUGUGAGGACACAGCAAGAAGGUGGCCAUCUGUAAGCAAGGAGGCCUCAGGAGAAGCCAAACCUGCAAACACCUUGAUCUUGGACUUCUAGCCUCCAGGACUUGAGAAAAUACAUUUCCAUUUUUCAAGCCUCUGAAUCUAUGAUAUCUGGUUUUAGCAGUCCUAGCAAACUGUAAUACAAUACCCAGUCUCCCCCUAUGGUGCAGGUGCUAAUGAUCCUCAUUUUAAUGCUGCAGUUCCAAUUGUGGGCAUGUGAUCAUUGCUCACUCCAUCAAAAAAUUCCAUCCUGGGCCUCAGAGAGUGGUUCAGGGUUGAGUAUUCAACCCAAGCCAGGCCAAUCGGAACAGUCCUGAGUUUUGCCCUAGGACACUGGGAAAGGGGGCACUCCAUUUUCCUCUGAGAUUGCUUAGUCAAUGGACUAUAAGCCUGCAGCUGCUGGGAUUCAUCUUUUCCACCAUGAAGGAAGGGGCUGUCUGAGAAUAAACCCAAGACAGAACACACAGAGCCAGAAGAUGGGGAGAUAAAGGUUCCAAACAUUGCUGUGGAAGCACCUGGCUCCAUCCUUACCUCCUGUUACCCACCCUAGACUUGAUGUUGUGUGAGCCAACAAACUCCCUCCAUGCCUCAGACACUGAGUUUCUUUCUCUCACAAUUAAAAAAAUCCUGACUAAAGCAGAUGCCUUCGUCUUGUCCUACAGU